CUGACGCGAGAGCUGUUCUCAGAGAACUUGUUGCAUCGGUUGGCAUGGGCAUAUGAUAAUAUCGACCACGCUAGCGAGUUGUUCGACAAAAUGCUGCAGAAGGAUGCUGUAUCACGGAGUGGCAGAUGAUGUGCUGGUAAGAACUGACUAUUUAUGGAUGCAAUUAACAAAUUUUAUAGUUGAAACAAUUUUUAUUUUGUUCAAUAAAGUUGUCUUGUCAUCAUGUAUAUGCUUGGGCGGCCUUCAACUUAAUUGGGCAGUUACCUGGGUUAUUUCAUGCAGUAGAUCUUGCUAGAGAAAGUUCAACUUCUACAUUGUGUUUUCUUUUUUUUUUUCAGUACUUUGUGAUGAUUAGGUUGGUCUCUAAGCGAGGUUAACCUGUGAAGUGACUCAUCCUCGGACUAGCAUUAUUUUAUUUGUAAACAAUGCUGACAAACAUCUUAGCAGCUACAAUUUGACUGGGACUGUCACCAGUCAGAGGAGCUAAAUUAUACUCUUUCCCAUUUCCAGAGUUCCAUAUCCAAACUAGUUAUCGGGCAACAAAUCAUCAUAUUUUGUUGACUUAGUUUUUGAAAUUAGAGAAUUCUACAAGCUCAUCAAACCUGAUUCAAUAUCCUUAGUAUAAAUUUACUAAACCUGAUUUAAUAUCUUUGUUAUCCUAUAUAUGCUGUGCGACUGAAGUUUUUGAGGCAAUGCCUUCGAUCGUCAUAUCUUCCUUUGCCCAGCCAUCAAUUUUCCUGAUCAUCAUCGUGCAUGCAAACUUUAGAAGAAACAUGAAUAGUUUUGAUUUAAUGUUUAAUAUGCCCACCCGGAUGUUCACUUUGAAAGAAUGAAGGCAGAAAUUGUCGAUCUAGAUAAAUUGUUUGACUUUGCUUGAUGCUUGUAGCUAUUGGAAGAUUGGUGGACCAAGGAAAAUCUUGUUUUAAUCCAAUAAGGAAUGUUUACAUGGUAAAUGUUGUCAAGCAUGGUGUGAUGUUAAAAGAAGCAGAGGAGAUGAUUUUCAGCAAUGGUAAUGUCUCCAGAAUUUUCCAUAUGUAGGUUGCACUGCUUGAUGCUUUUUUCAGAUACAUGGAGAUAUCAAGAUGUGAUAUCGGAUCGAUAAGGUCAACGAGUGGAGCCUGCAAUGUGGGUUAUUUUUUUUAUUGGCAAUCAUGUUUUUGGGAUCCAGGAGAUAGAAUGAUGCAAGAUAUGUCAGAACGAGCAUCAAAAUUGGUGGUGGAAGAAAGUGAUGCCACUCCAAAUUGAUGGUAUGUUUCAUCAGUUACUCAUGGGAAAUCGAUCUCGCCACACACUAAACGCAUCUAUUUAUCUUUGUAUGAGAUGCUUUUCAAAGUUUAGCUUGCUGGCUAUGCGCCAGAAGUUGGAGAGGUGCUGCUUGACUCCUAUCAAUUGGACAAAGAGACUGUUCUGUGUAUACAGAGUAAUAUAUUAGCCAAUGCCUUUGGGUUGAUAAACACAAAAUCAGGAUGCCAAUAGCAGUUAUGAAAAAUCUGACAGUUUGCGGUGACUGCCAUCAUGCUAGAAAGUCCAUCUCCAAGGUCCACGAUCGAGAGAUAAUAUAGUGCAGGACAGGAUCACGUUUCAUCGCUUCAAAGCAGAUUAUGUUCCUGCAACUUGCAAGAAUCACUGGUAAACGAUUGAAUUUGUGCCAACAAGGAGAAUCUAUUAGAUGACUAAAACUAUUCUUUCUCGUCUUCAUGUGGUAAAGUUGCCUACAGCUAUCCUCUAUAUUUAAUAGGAUUGCUCGAUUCCAUACUAAUAUCAUUUAGCUCUGCUGCUGAAAAUUGUGCCUAGUUGCCUUUUUUACUGAUUAUUUGUGCAAUAAUUCUUGGGAACUAACCUUUUUUCAAUAAAUCUUAUGAGCAUUUAAAUAUUAAGUGUAGCCAUUAGCAGAAUAUAAAUAAAUGAAAUCUUUAUCUUGGUUUGUGGUUAAUUACUAGGAAGUAUGUCUUCACUUUGACAUGCAUACUUAGUUAUUUAGCGCAAGUCCAAAAGUCUAAAGUGAGAUAUGCUAUAGAAGAACAUUAGUGUUGUGUCAGCCACUUCUGUAACAUUAGUGUUAUAGAAGAACAGUACUGUGUCAGUGUGGACUUAAGCAUAAAUGGAAACCCUAAUAGAUUUCCCAGCUGGCAAUCUUCAAUGACACAAAUGCUGAACACCUAGCAAUAUUGUAAAUACUAGUGAUUUAUAAUCCAUGUAAGAGAACUAAUGGUGUAUCAAGUGGACAUCCAUUGGAAGAUCUGAGGAAGUUAUAAAUGUAAAUACUUGUGAUUUAUAAAUGUAAGAGUAUGGGACAUAACAUAGUAAAGUCACAUAUGGAUUAUUCUUGGAUUGUGCUUUGGAUAAACAUGGAGUAGAAGCAAAGUAGAUCAAGUACGAUGCAUCAAAUCCUAAGCAUAAGAUUCUAUAAAGAAAUUAAAAUACAAGAUGUUCCCACAUGACAAUACAAACAAUAGCUAGCUGGCAUAUUUGUUUUCCUCUGAGUACUGAUAGAUGAUUAAUUAUGGAAGUUAUGAUUGAUAACAAACUCACUAUGACAAUCCAUUAUAUCUCAUCGAAUUUUCUUCUCCAGUGAAUUGCAUGCAUGUCUUCAACGUGGUAGAACAUCAAGGAUUGAAGUCACAUCUUCAUAUUUGAGAUAUCGAGUGAAAGAGAACAGAUUUCUGUACCUGCUGUGAUAGGAACAACAGGGCGAAGUUUUUGUACCAUUGCACCCGGAAUAGGACAAACCGAAAAAGAAGUGCUGUGUCACCUGUCCACAGGUUUCGCCAAGGAUUGUUCUUAAAGGUAAACGAGAACAACACGUUUCCUUGUAUUAUAUGUUCAUCGAAUGAAUGGUGGUGAAGUAAAGAUUGGAUUUGUGACAAUCUUUACAGAAGGUACUGCUGCAGGAUUUGCAGAAUGAUGCAUCUGCAUGACCUUAGUAGUAUGACAGGUCAUUGGGAACUUAGCCGAAAACAUGUUAAACCUACCCCCUACCCCCUAACGACC
rnacentral:lncRNA from 1 species